ensembl:snoRNA
GGCCUUCGAGUGCUUACCACAGGCUGUGUUAUUACACUGACUGUAUAGAAAGAGGAGGCAGAGUAAACCUACCCCAUAUACACCUCAGCCCAGGCCUGUGCCUAGUUUGUAUUGUGAAUGGGGAGACAGGG